rnacentral:lncRNA from 1 species
CUAACCACGCAGUGAUCUACCUAACCUAACUUAACCUUACCUGAGCUCACCAUGCGGUGAUUGUUGUUUUCCUCCUACAUUAUCGAUGAGAGGAGCGACCACGGUUACCAAUCGUUGAAAUUCCCCAGAACCAGAGUUGGUACUUCUUCUCAGCCUUUAUAUCAGCAGCCAGUCGAGGACGCAAGAGACUCACUGCAGGUGGAAUAGAAACGAUUACUCAAUGAAGGUACGAGGUGUGGUUAUUAAAUAACCGGUCUGAAGUCAUAAGACUUUUUAUUCAUCAUCAAUUACAGCAGAGGUUUUUUCGCCUUCAAUGUACUCCCCUUGGCGAUCCCUACACCGCUCCAUACGACGUUUUCAUUGUUGAAAGCAGUACUGGAAGUCCUCUUCUGUCAGCCGAUUAAGAACCUCCGUCGCUUUUGCUUUAACCUUUUCCACAAUUCCAAAUCUUGUCCCCAUUAGCGCCGACUUGACCUUAGGAAAUAGAAGAAAGUCACAGGGGGCAAAGUCGGGCGAGUACGGUGGAUGUUCCAACACGGUGAUGCCGUAUUUUGCGAGGAACGCUUUCACAGACAAGGCAGAAUGGGCUGGUGCAUUGUCUUGGUGAAGGAUCCAGGACUUAGUCUUCCGCAAAUCGGGUCGUCUUCUUACACGCUCACGUAGGGCCGUCAAAAUCUCAAUGUGGAACCGUACUUGCCCGACCUUGCCCCCUGUGACUUUUUUCUAUUUCCCAAGGUCAAGUCGGCGCUGAAGGGGACAAGAUUUGGAAGUGUGGAAGCGGUUAAAGUAAAAGCGACGGAAGUUCUUAAGCGGCUGACAGAAGAGGACUUCCAGCACUGCUUUCAACAAUGAAAACGUCGUAUGGAGCGGUGUAGGGAUCGCCAAUGGGAGUACAUUGAAGGCGAAAAAACCUCUGCUGUAAUUGGUGAUGAAUAAAAAGUGUUAUGACUUCAGUCCGGUUAUUUAAUAGCCACACCUCGUAUGUAAUAGAAGCAACAACCAGCUCCAGCCGUAUGGAACCAGUAUAUGUCGAAUUUGAUGUUGGUGGAUGGCGAUAUGUUAAAAUGUUCUGCAUUCAAUUUGAUGUUCAAUCAGAUUCAAUAAGAUUGUUGAACAAACUUCUUUUAUAUCACCGUGACAUGAGAACCGACUAUUACAGGACAAGGGAAUACAGAUGCUAUGUGAAACCUGAGGGUUUAGCAAUCUCGCAUUUACUCUUGUUCAUCAGCGGAUUUCAUUCCAACUCCGUAGAUCACUGCAGUUUUCUGGUAGUGUCAGUUGUACGGAUACGUUUCCAAAACUGCCACAGUUUUUCGUCAGGAUCAACUCCAGGCGUGAGCUCUGCGUCGAUGUUCAAGUAAUUCUUGGUGGUUGUUGAUAUUGGUUUCCAGUUUUCUGUGAUUAAUUCGUCAAUUUGUGGCGUCGGAUUUCUGUAUCAAUAAGCAGUUAGAGAAUCACAGAUGGAUAGUGAAUGAAGAACUACUUUACUAACUACUGGUGACACUUAUAAAUGGAUUUCGUAUUUACCCAGUCUUUGCAAAAUCUGUCCACAACCUGAGGAAUCUCUCGGAGAUGAUUUGUUCAACUGAACCUGGUUUGAUAAAAGGAACGUCACGGAACGCUUCGGGGCGGAAGAUGUACGCCAACUCGUCCAUGUGUCCAGCACCUGAAGAAACAUUGCUCAACAAAUGCUUGCUCAGUUUCUCCGGUGAGUCGUGAGAGAAACGAUAAAAAUAUGUUGGAGACUUUGCCUUGGCUUGAAUUAUCGCUGCUUCAUGGAUACCGAGGACGAAGCAAAUGUCACCCAGAAAUUGAACGUAAC